rnacentral:rRNA from 1 species
CCUACGGGAGGCAGCAGUGAGGAAUAUUGGUCAAUGGACGCAAGUCUGAACCAGCCAAGUAGCGUGCAGGAAGACGGCCCUCCGGGUUGUAAACUGCUUUUAGUUGGGAAUAAAAGGGGGCUCGUGAGCCCCGUAUUGUAUGUACCAUGAGAAAAAGGAGAGGCUAAUUACGUACCAGCAGCCGGGGUAAUACGGAAGGUCCGGGAUUUAUCAGGCUUUAUUGGGUUUAAAGUGAGCGUAGGCCGGCUUUUAAGUGAGCUGUGAAAGUCCGCGGCUCAACCGUGGAAUUGCAGUUGAAACUGGAGGCCUUGAGUGCACACAGGGAUGACGGGAUUCAUGGUGUAGCGGUGAAAUGCUUAGAUAUCAUGAAGAACUCCGAGCGCGAAGGCAAGUGUCCGGGGUGCAACUGACGCUGAGGCUCGAAAGUGCGGGUAUCAAACAGGAUUAGAUACCCGGGUAGUC